UUUGUUAUCGGCAGCAUAGGCAAUAUGGCCCAGCCAACCAAUGAGCACCACUACCCCAUGCGUUUGCUUGAAUUUUGAGAGAAAAAAAAACACACACACACACACACAAAUCUCCAUAGUAUAUUAUCCUCACCAAGAACAUGAGAGAGAGAGAGAGAGAGAGAGAGAGAGAACCGUAAUUAUCUAUGAACAAGAAGUAGUUAGGUAGGCCAUUUCCAAAAUCUUGUUACAAGACACCUUUCCAAAAUCUCUUUUUAAAAUACACAUUCAUCAGCCGAAGAAUUUGUGAACCCUAGCCACUUUCACAGACUCAACUCAAUGUAGCUGCAAACCCAAUUUUUUCUCAUUUUCGACGACAGCAUUGCGAUUGCAGAGAUGAGAUUUUCUCAUCUCACAUCGAAUUCACCUUUCUUCUACUCUGUUCUUUAGCUUGCAGCUGCAUUUGAUCUUUUGGAUCCUAACGGGUUUCAUUCAUGAUAGCUAUGCAGUCCACAAGUAUAACCAGGCCCAGGCGCUCUCAAAGUGAAGUUCUUGGGCACUCUGACUGUUUUAUUAGUGGUUCCAGCAGCACCCACACUAAGUUGGAAGGAGCUUGCAGCAUUUGCAGGAUCUUGCACCCAAG